rnacentral:lncRNA from 1 species
CCCAGGGGCCCGCCAAGCCUGCCCCAGCCAGCACCUCAUGGCCCCACAGCUUAGAGCUACGUCUAACCUACUCCACUUAAAGGCCGAUUCCCCCGGGCGGGCGCCGCGCAGGCAGCAGCGGGUGGGUGGAUGAAAUCCCUACGGGGACAGGCAGGCCGCGGCACUGUCACGGCUCCCGGUUCCCGGCUCCCAUCUCGGGAAGGCUCCAUUCUUCCCCACCCCCACAGGCUGCGUGUGGCCGGGGCCGGGGCCGGGGCCUGGGCGGCGGCCACUCACCACGGCGGGGUGACUCCGUGCGGGCAGGCCUCGCGCUCCGCUUCCAGUCACCGGGAGCGAGCGGCCCCAUCAAGGCCGCGGCCGGGCAGCGGGGUACAGCCGAACCAGCCGCUCACCGCACCCGCUGCUGCUGUUGGUAGCCAUUUUAAUCCUCCUUCUUCGGCUGCCGCCGCUCCAGCUCUUCCCGAACCCCCUCCCUCCCAGUCCGGCCGCGCUCCGCCCCGCCGCCGCCGCCUUCCCGCGGGAAUGCGGCACUCGCCCGCGCCCGGCAGGAAGGGCCGUUGCCCUGACACUGGGGAGCCCCCAGCGGCAUCCUGCCCCAAAGGGGCUGGCGAGGUGCUGUUUUCUUCCAGGCUCAGAAAACUGUUAUGCCAAGACAGACUUCCACUUCCUCACUCCUCCAGUGUAAACCACUUAAAUUUUGCUGGUGAACAGAUCUGUUAUGCAACUUCUGAAAAGUUAUGCUGGAGCAGGAGGAAGAAUCAGGUUUCAAAACUCCAGCAACAAUUGUGGAUGGUUCUCAAUCGGUGACAAUCUGGAAUGGUUUAUUUGUUAUGUGUCUGCACCCUAUGAUGAGGAAAACUGACCCCAGCUUCUACAUUAGGCUACCUAAUAGCUUGUUAUAAAUGUUAUGACCUUUUAUUUGAGAAGCUUCCAUGUCACUGUUUGCAAAUGGCUGUUGAUUGUGAGUAAGGGCAACAUGUUUAUUCUUUAUCCAGUUAUAAUUGAGCCAAAUCUGAAAAUAAUUUAACACAGGAACACAAGAGAGGCAACUAAGAGAAAACAUUGACAGCCUAUCAAGAGAAGUAGUCAAAUCCAGUUCUGAGGCCAGACUGUCACCACUGGCAAAGCAGUAGCAGGGCCACAACAAUGGGGAUGCUAUGGAACUGCUGGAGGAACAAAGAGAGGAAAAAAAAUAAAGCCGCUUUGGAUUCUCUUACA